AGAUUGAACGCUGGCGGCAGGCCUAACACAUGCAAGUCGAGCGGAAACAGAGAGUAACUUGUUACUUUGCUGUCGAGCGGCGGACGGGUGAGUAAUGCUUGGGAAACUGCCCAGUCGAGGGGGACAACUAUUGGAAACGAUGGCUAAUACCGCAUACGCCCUACGGGGGAAAGAAGGGGACUCUUCGGAGCCUUUCGCGAUUGGAUGUGCCCAAGUGGGAUUAGCUAGUUGGUGAGGUAAAGGCUCACCAAGGCAACGAUCCCUAGCUGGUUUGAGAGGAUGAUCAGCCACACUGGAACUGAGACACGGUCCAGACUCCUACGGGAGGCAGCAGUGGGGAAUAUUGCACAAUGGGCGCAAGCCUGAUGCAGCCAUGCCGCGUGUAUGAAGAAGGCCUUCGGGUUGUAAAGUACUUUCAGCGAGGAGGAAAGGUUACGUGUUAAUAGCACGUAGCUGUGACGUUACUCGCAGAAGAAGGACCGGCUAACUCCGUGCCAGCAGCCGCGGUAAUACGGAGGGUCCGAGCGUUAAUCGGAAUUACUGGGCGUAAAGCGUACGCAGGCGGUUUGUUAAGCGAGAUGUGAAAGCCCCGGGCUCAACCUGGGAACUGCAUUUCGAACUGACAAACUAGAGUUUUGUAGAGGGUGGUAGAAUUUCAGGUGUAGCGGUGAAAUGCGUAGAG
rnacentral:rRNA from 1 species